GACGAACGCUGGCGGCGUGCCUAAUACAUGCAAGUCGAGCGCAGGAAGCCGACGGAACCCUUCGGGGGGAAGUCGACGGAAUGAGCGGCGGACGGGUGAGUAACACGUAAAGAACCUGCCCUCAGGUCUGGGAUAACCACGAGAAAUCGGGGCUAAUACCGGAUGGGUCAUCGGACCGCGUGGUCCGAGGAUGAAAGGCGCUUCGGCGUCGCCUGGGGAUGGCUUUGCGGUGCAUUAGCUAGUUGGUGGGGUAAUGGCCCACCAAGGCGACGAUGCAUAGCCGACCUGGGAGGGUGAUCGGCCACACUGGGACUGAGACACGGCCCAGACUCCUACGGGUGGCAGCAGUAGGGAAUCUUCCACAAUGGACGAAAGUCUGAUGGAGCAACGCCGCGUGAACGAUGAAGGCCUUCGGGUCGUAAAGUUCUGUUGUAAGGGAAGAACAAGUGCCGCAGGCAAUGGCGGCACCUUGACGGUACCUUGCGAGAAAGCCACGGCUAACUACGUGCCAGCCGCCGCCGUAAUAC
rnacentral:rRNA from 1 species